rnacentral:rRNA from 1 species
UACGUAGGUGGCGAGCGUUGUCCGGAUUUACUGGGCGUAAAGGGAGCGUAGGCGGAUUUUUGAGUGAGAUGUGAAAUACUCGGGCUCAACUUGAGUGCUGCAUUUCAAACUGGAAGUCUAGAGUGCAGGAGAGGAGAAUGGAAUUCCUAGUGUAGCGGUGAAAUGCGUAGAGAUUAGGAAGAACACCAGUGGCGAAGGCGAUUCUCUGGACUGUAACUGACGCUGAGGCUCGAAAGCGUGGGGAGCAAACAGG